AUACGUAGGGGGCGAGCGUUGUCCGGAAUGAUUGGGCGUAAAGGGCGCGUAGGCGGCUUUGCAAGUCAGUAGUGGAAGUCCAUUUUUCAAGGAUGGAAGUGCUAGAGAAACUGCGGAGCUUGAGUGCAGGAGAGGUUAUCGGAAUUCCCGGUGUAGCGGUGAAAUGCGUAGAGAUCGGGAGGAACACCAGUGGCGAAGGCGGGUAACUGGACUGCAACUGACGCUGAGGCGCGAAAGUGUGGGGAGCAAACAGGAUUAGAUACCCUGGUAGUCCACACUGUAAACGAUGAAUGCUAGGUGUAGGAGGUAUCGACCCCUUCUGUGCCGCAGUAAACACAGUAAGCAUUCCGCCUGGGGAGUACGGUCGCAAGAUUAAAACUCAAAGGAAUUGACGGGG
rnacentral:rRNA from 1 species